rnacentral:rRNA from 1 species
UACGUAGGUGGCAAGCGUUAUCCGGAUUUACUGGGUGUAAAGGGCGAGUAGGCGGGAUUGCAAGUCAGAUGUGAAAACUAUGGGCUCAACCGAUAGAGUGCAUUUGAAACUGCAGUUCUUGAGUGAUGGAGAGGCAGGCGGAAUUCCCGGUGUAGCGGUGGAAUGCGUAGAUAUCGGGAGAAACACCAGUGGCGAAGGCGGCCUGCUGGACAUUAACUGACGCUGAGGCGCGAAAGCGUGGGGAGCAAACAGG